GACGAACGCUGGCGGCGUGCUUAACACAUGCAAGUCGAACGGAGCGAAUGAAAGCUUGCUUUUAUGAGCUUAGUGGCAAACGGGUGAGUAACACGUAGACAACCUGCCGAUCAGAUGGGGACAACAUUCCGAAAGGAAUGCUAAUACCGAAUGGUGUGCGAGGGAGGCAUCUCCCCCGCAUGAAAGAUGGCCAAUACAUGUAAGCUAUCACUGAUCGAUGGGUCUGCGUCUGAUUAGCUGGUAGGUAAGGUAACGGCUUACCUAGGCGACGAUCAGUAGCCGGUCUGAGAGGAUGAACGGCCACAUUGGGACUGAGACACGGCCCAGACUCCUACGGGAGGCAGCAGUGGGGAAUCUUCCGCAAUGGGCGCAAGCCUGACGGAGCAACGCCGCAUGAGUGAAGAAGGUCUUCGGAUCGUAAAGCUCUGUUGAAGGGGACGAACGUGUAUAGUGCAAAUAGUGCUA
rnacentral:rRNA from 1 species